CUGCUCAGGACGAACGCUGGCGGCGUGCCUAAUACAUGCAAGUCGAACGCUUCUUUUUCCACCGGAGCUUGCUCCACCGGAAAAAGAGGAGUGGCGAACGGGUGAGUAACACGUGGGUAACCUGCCCAUCAGAAGGGGAUAACACUUGGAAACAGGUGCUAAUACCGUAUAACAAUCGAAACCGCAUGGUUUUGAUUUGAAAGGCGCUUUCGGGUGUCGCUGAUGGAUGGACCCGCGGUGCAUUAGCUAGUUGGUGAGGUAACGGCUCACCAAGGCCACGAUGCAUAGCCGACCUGAGAGGGUGAUCGGCCACAUUGGGACUGAGACACGGCCCAAACUCCUACGGGAGGCAGCAGUAGGGAAUCUUCGGCAAUGGACGAAAGUCUGACCGAGCAACGCCGCGUGAGUGAAGAAGGUUUUCGGAUCGUAAAACUCUGUUGUUAGAGAAGAACAAGGAUGAGAGUAACUGUUCAUCCCUUGACGGUAUCUAACCAGAAAGCCACGGCUAACUACGUGCCAGCAGCCGCGGUAAUACGUAGGUGGCAAGCGUUGUCCGGAUUUAUUGGGCGUAAAGCGAGCGCAGGCGGUUUCUUAAGUCUGAUGUGAAAGCCCCCGGCUCAACCGGGGAGGGUCAUUGGAAACUGGGAGACUUGAGUGCAGAAGAGGAGAGUGGAAUUCCAUGUGUAGCGGUGAAAUGCGUAGAUAUAUGGAGGAACACCAGUGGCGAAGGCGGCUCUCUGGUCUGUAACUGACGCUGAGGCUCGAAAGCGUGGGGAGCAAACAGGAUUAGAUACCCUGGUAGUCCACGCCGUAAACGAUGAGUGCUAAGUGUUGGAGGGUUUCCGCCCUUCAGUGCUGCAGCUAACGCAUUAAGCACUCCGC
rnacentral:rRNA from 1 species